UACGUAGGGUGCAAGCGUUGUCCGGAAUUAUUGGGCGUAAAGAGCUCGUAGGCGGUCUGUCGCGUCGGAUGUGAAAACUCGGGGCUCAACCCCGGGCCUGCAUUCGAUACGGGCAGACUAGAGUACGGCAGGGGAGACUGGAAUUCCUGGUGUAGCGGUGAAAUGCGUAGAUAUCAGGAGGAAUACCGGUGUGGUAGACGGCUCUCUGGACCGCCACUGACGCUGAGACACGAAAGCGUGGGUAGCAAACAGG
rnacentral:rRNA from 1 species